GCGAGCGUGGCGGAAUUGGCAGACGCACUGGAUUCAGGUUCCAGCGGGUAACACCGUGAAGGUUCAAGUCCUUUCGCUCGCA
rnacentral:tRNA from 2 species